CGGAGGGUGCAAGCGUUAUCCGGAUUCACUGGGUUUAAAGGGUGUGUAGGCGGGUAGUUAAGUCAGUGGUGAAAUCUCCGGGCUCAACCCGGAAACUGCCAUUGAUACUAUCUAUCUUGAAUUUUGUUGAGGUAGGCGGAAUAUGUCAUGUAGCGGUGAAAUGCAUAGAUAUGACAUAGAACACCAAUUGCGAAGGCAGCUUACUAAGCAAAUAUUGACGCUGAGGCACGAAAGCGUGGGGAUCAAACAGGAUUAGAUACCCUGGUAGUCCACGCCCUAAACGAUGAUUACUCGACAUACGCGAUACACAGUGUGUGUCUGAGCGAAAGCAUUAAGUAAUCCACCUGGGAAGUACGUCCGCAAGGAUG
rnacentral:rRNA from 1 species